UGGGGAAUCUUCCGCAAUGGACGAAAGUCUGACGGAGCAACGCCGCGUGAGUGAAGAAGGUUUUCGGAUCGUAAAACUCUGUCUUUUGGGGCGAACGUGAGUAUGGUGAACAAUCAUAGUCAGUGACGGUACCAAAGGAGGAAGCCACGGCUAACUACGUGCCAGCAGCCGCGGUAAUACGUAGGUGGCAAGCGUUGUCCGGAAUUAUUGGGCGUAAAGAGCGCGUAGGCGGGAUAGUCAGUCUGUUGUAAAGUGCGGGGCUCAACCCCGUGAUGGCAAUGGAAACAGCUAUUCUUGAGUGCAGGAGAGGAGAGUGGAAUUCCCAGUGUAGCGGUGAAAUGCGUAGAUAUUGGGAGGAACACCAGUGGCGAAGGCGACUUUCUGGACUGUGUCUGACGCUGAGGCGCGAAAGCCAGGGGAGCGAACGGGAUUAGAUACCCCGGUAGUCCUGGCCGUAAACGAUGGGUACUAGGUGUGGGAGGUAUCGACCCCUUCCGUGCCGGAGUUAACGCAAUAAGUACCCCGCCUGGGGAGUACGGUCGCAAGACUGAAACUCAAAGGAAUUGACGGGGUCAUAGCUG
rnacentral:rRNA from 1 species